CCGCGGUGCGUCACGGGAGCUGCGGCGGCGACCUCCUGGCUCCCGCCCCCGCACGCGCCCGUUGCACGCACGCGCACUGCGCCCAGCAUGAGGGUCGCGGCUCUGAUCAGUGGUGGGAAGGACAGCUGCUAUAAUAUGAUGCAGUGCAUUGCUGCUGGGCAUCAGAUCGUUGCUUUAGCAAAUCUGAGACCAGCUGAAAACCAAGUGGGGUCUGAUGAACUGGAUAGCUACAUGUAUCAGACAGUGGGACAUCAUGCCAUUGACUUGUAUGCAGAAGCAAUGGCUCUUCCCCUCUAUCGCCGAACCAUAAGAGGAAGGAGCUUGGAUACAAGACGAGUAUACACCAAAUGUGAAGGUGAUGAGGUUGAAGAUCUCUAUGAGCUUUUGAAACUUGUUAAGGAAAAAGAAGAAGUAGAGGGGAUAUCAGUAGGUGCUAUACUUUCUGACUAUCAGCGUAUUCGAGUGGAAAAUGUGUGUAAAAGGCUUAAUCUCCAGCCUUUAGCUUACCUGUGGCAGAGAAACCAGGAGGAUUUGCUCCGAGAGAUGAUAUCAUCUAACAUUCAAGCAAUGAUCAUCAAAGUAGCAGCUUUGGGCUUAGAUCCUGAUAAGCAUCUUGGGAAAACCCUGGAUCAAAUGGAGCCAUAUCUCUUAGAGCUUUCUAAGAAGUAUGGAGUACAUGUUUGUGGAGAAGGUGGAGAGUAUGAAACUUUCACUUUGGAUUGCCCUCUAUUUAAGAAGAAAAUAAUUGUGGAUUCGUCAGAAGUAGUCAUGCAUUCAGCUGAUGCAUUUGCACCUGUGGCCUAUCUACGCUUCUUAGAAUUGCACUUGGAGGACAAGAAUGUGCGUAGAAACCAUGUUGCCAGAAGUACUCUUCUCAGCAGACUGCCUUAUCCACCAGAGUGACAUGAAGAUUGGUGAUGGUCUCUCUCCACCUAAAACAAUCCUGCACAUUCAGAGUAUUUCUCACUAGGCACCUGCUAGCACUGGACACUAUAGUUAGUCUAUGAAGGACAGAACAGCAUAAAAUAAGCAGAAUUGCAAAUUUGAUUAUCAAACUCUCAUUGCUGUCACUCCAAUCAACAACCUUUUGAAGAAGUGCGGAUCUCUCAAUCAUGAGUAUGGAAACUCAGAGAAUGCUUGGCACUUGGCACAGUACCUGGCAGAUAGUACUUAAUGAAUGUCGGAUGGAUGGCAAAAAGAGACAACAGGGGAAACAGAAAGAAUGAAGGAAAGAAGGAAAUAGUUGGAAAAACAGUUUAGUUGAUCUGAUCUGCAUGCAAGUAUUUGCUCUCAGUAAUAUUUUCUAGAAGCUGUUCUAAGAGGAUCUAGGGGUGGAUGUUUAGCAUAAAACAUGUUUCAACAGUUUUAAUGGAUAUGGAUUUCUGAGCUAACUUACAUUAUUAUGACCUGUUAGUAGUAGCAGCACUUAGUUCCCUUGUUGAGUAAAGGAUAGGAACAAUUAUGUUGUGAUGACAGAUUUCCAUCAGGUUUUUUUUUUCUGCCACAUAUCUAGACGUGACUUAGUUUUAAUGUACCUGAAUACUCCCAUAGUAAAGUGUAUUGUGAUUUCAUCAAGGAGGGCAAUAAUUAUUAAGCAGAGGAAUCUUUAGUCUUUGUCUCUUUGAAUAUCUAACUGAUCUUAAAAAUAAAGUGGUUUGUCUAUUUGCAGUUGAUUUUCUACAUGUGUUUGUUUCCAGUAAUUCCAGCCUUCUUACCCUGGAAUAGUUUAACCCAUCUCUUAAUUGUGCCUAGCUGACGUCUAGGUCUUUUUAAACUUCUUAACUGCACGGCAAGCCCUCAGUGGACACCUUGAUUGUGUCUGUUUGGGAAAAUGCCAAGCACUAAUGAGUAUUUUGUUUAAUGUAAUGGAAACUGAAAGUGCAUGGCUUCUUCCCUGACUGAUCAAUGCCCACUUCUGUUGUUUGAACAUAUCUGUACAUUCUAAAUUCAAAACGAAGGGUAACAAAUGGGCAGAGCACUUAGUGUCUGCCCAAGGAAGGACUUCAAGAUUCACAAGUUUUGUUUAUUUGGGCCCGGUAUAGACAGUACUGGAGUUAGUACUCUAGGCCUCCUCCUCUGUGCUCAGAUAUGCAAUUUUUAUUAAACCCAAAGUCCGUAAUCUUAAACUUUUUUGUGUUAAUUUAACAAAAUAAUAAGGGAAUGAAUUAUUUGUUGAAUUCUAAGCCAGGCAAUAUCUACUUCUAAGAAGUUACCCAUUUUUUAUUUCAUCAUUAUUUUUUAUAAAAUAUUUGGUAUAUAUUAUAUUUACCUUAUUGUUUGCUUUUUCUGAAGUUCAAAUCACAAUGUGUCCAACACAAAAUUUUAAGUAAAUAAUUAAAGCAUUAUUUCUUAGUUAAAUAAACAGUAAUAUUUGCUGAAAAAUGAAAUCUUAAGCAAUUGAGUAGGCAAACAUGAUCAAGUAUGUUCGAGUGAAGAGUAACGAUUUCCAUGUGGUGCUAACAUUCUGCACAGAGACUAAGUGGAAAGUGUAGAAGAUGUUUCAUUGAACCGUAUCUAGCUGAAUUGAUACAGAGCUCCUUUCAGUAGUAUUUAUAAUUUAUAGACUUCUUGUAUGUGCUAGAUAAUUUUCACGAGAAAAGAUUUCCAGCCAUUUAAAAUUUUAAAUGAGAUUUACCUUUCGUCCAAAGUGUCCUGGGUUUAGUGAUUUCAUUAAAGAUCAAUGGAGAUGAUAAGAAAAGUUUUGAAUCUAAAAAAUGGAAAUAAUUUCAUUCCUCAAAUUCAAAUUUAAUGACUCGCUUUCUCUUUAUUUCCAAGCCACCAUCUUGCUUGAUCAUACUAUCACCUUCCUUUGGAGACUGGAAAUAUACAAGCCUCCCCAAAUUACAGUUUAUAAUGGAAAGCUCCCCUGACCCUUAAUAAUUGUUACUUUACUGAAACACUGUAAUAUCUAAACUAAGUUGCUUAUUACACCAAACAUGAAGUCCUUUGACCCUUAGGGUUCAAUAUUGAUCAGCCUCACUUUUGUCAAUAUCACCUCUAAUGUCAACAUUUCAGUGUGAAAUAAAAUUCAGUAAAGGAUAGUCUUCUUAAUCCACACACAUUAAAGAUGUUUAAUUCCUAUUCAUUACAAAUUUCACCCAGUUUAAGAAUUGUUUUUUCCAUAUUCUCAGUUAAUAAUUGGAGACUGGGCAGCAUUGUAAGUAUGUGGUUAAAUGUCAUUACAAUAAGAAGUUAGCUGUAAGAUAACCUAUACCGAGGACCGGAUUCAUGGAAAAUCAUCUCUGAUAAAAUUACUCCAAAGGAAAUUUGAAGCAAAUGUAUUACAAAUUCAUCAAACGUGACUGAGAUAUUUUUUAAUCCUGAGAUCAUGGAGGGAAAUGCUUUUAAAAAGAAUAUUCAGGUGCUUGCUUUGCCCUUGGAUAAUGCAAUAGAAGCUUGUGGUAUUUUUCAGAUUGUCAAAUAUGUAUCAAAGAGUUAUUCUCUUGGCAAAUUCCAUGAAUUUCAGUUCCAUUUCUUGACAAUUUAAAAUUUGAUUAUCCAAUUAUAACUAAAGGUCAUUAGUCUAAUGUGGCAACUUCAUGACAGUUUUAGUUACAAAAGAAUUUCUCAGUUUAGAGAGGAAACUGCCAUGUGAGAAUUGUUUAUUGAACUUUUAAGUUGGAUGGUAUUGUGAAAAGAAUUUUGUUUUCUUCUUGUGCUUUUACUAUUUAUUAAUAAAAAUAUAUACUUUUUCCCCUGCCCCAUGUUUAUAUCGCAUGCCUCACCUCUCUGAAUAACAUCACCAAAUUAACAGCAAGUGCUCUCUGAUAUUGCUGAUUUUUAUCAUCAUUAGAUUUUGUCUUAAAUGUUCAUUUAGAGUUCCAUUUCUCUGUUUUGUUUUUAAUAACCAUAACCUGAAUAUCAUUUUCAGAACUAGAGAGAGUCAUUUUCAUUUCAAUCAUAUUAUAAGUAGAAUUUCUGCUAAAAUGAAAAACCAGAAAAAUUGAGGACAUGGCAAAUAUUUUAACAUUAGCUUUAUUUGAUGUGAUGAUGGAAAAUUCCUCAGGCAAAACAUACCACAGGACCAGACAAAAUGGGUGCUGAGUGUCAGAAAGAUAGGAGAAUCUUUAUCCACAUCUCACCCCCAAAGAAAUCAACUUUGCAGUGGUAGAUGAGUUUGUUGAACAGCUGUUGAUUGUGUACCUGCUCUGUUCAAGAUCAACAGUGAAAACUCAUUGUUUUUCUGUUUUUGCAUCUUAAGAGUUGCAGACAUUGCUGGAAACCCAGAUGGACAAGAUGGUGCCUGCACUGCUUCUCGUAACUGUGACCCAUUUACCCAGAGAAGAAAUUAUCCGUGCAGCAUGCUGGUUAACACUUCGAUCAACAAACAAGAACUCUACCACCCUGCUUGAGGAGUGAGAUCUUCACUCUAACUGUUCUCAGCACAGUCUCCUGGUGCAAAGCUGGACUAAGUAUUUUAAUAUUACACUUUGCGCCUCUUUUGUUCAACAGUAAGGCCCAAAAUAAACCUUUCUGCCUAGGUAUGAA